UACGGAGGGGGCGAGCGUUAUUCGGAAUCAUUGGGCGUAAAGGGCGCGUAGGCGGCUUUGUAAGUCUUGGGUGAAAGCCCUCGGCUCAACCGAGGAAUUGCCUUGGAUACUGCGAAGCUCGAGGCUGGAAGAGGACAGUGGAAUUCCCGGUGUAGCGGUGAAAUGCGUAGAUAUCAGGUGGAACACCAGUGGCGAAGGCGGCUUUCUGGACGAUAACUGACGCUGAGACGCGAAAGCGUGGGGAGCAAACAGG
rnacentral:rRNA from 1 species